GAUGAACGCUGGCGGCGUGCCUAAUACAUGCAAGUCGAGCGAAUGGAUUAAGAGCUUGCUCUUAUGAAGUUAGCGGCGGACGGGUGAGUAACACGUGGGUAACCUGCCCAUAAGACUGGGAUAACUCCGGGAAACCGGGGCUAAUACCGGAUAACAUUUUGAACCGCAUGGUUCGAAAUUGAAAGGCGGCUUCGGCUGUCACUUAUGGAUGGACCCGCGUCGCAUUAGCUAGUUGGUGAGGUAACGGCUCACCAAGGCAACGAUGCGUACCCGACCUGGGAGGGCGGUCGGCCACACGGGGACUGAGACACGGCCCAGACUCCGACGGGAGGCAGCAGGAGGGAGUCUUCCGCAAUGGACGAAAUUCUGACGGAGCAACGCCGCGUGGGUGAUGAAGGCUUUCGGGUCGUAAAACUCUGUUGUUAGGGAAGAACAAGUGCUAGUUGAAUAGGCUGGCACCUUGACGGUACCUAACCAGAAAGCCACGGCUAACUACGUGCCAGCAGCCGCCGUAA
rnacentral:rRNA from 1 species